UUUUCGUAGGUGGACCUGCGGAAGGAUCAUUAUUGUAUAACCGAGGUGCGAGGGCUGUCGCUGACCCGAAAGGUCGUGCACGCCCGAGUGCCCUCACACACAUCCAUCUCACCCCUAUGUGCACCACCGCGUGGGUCCCCCUUUGGCUUGUUCGGAGGGGGGCUUACGUUUUCACACAAACUUUGUAUGCAGUGUAGAAUGUAUUUUUUGUUUUUGCGAUCACGCAAUCAAUACAACUUUCAACAACGGAUCUCUUGGCUCUC
rnacentral:misc_RNA from 1 species